AAGCUGACACUGAGCUGAUGAAAACAACUCCAUUAUGGGAUCCUUUCCCUGAAGGGAUUUCAGUAACAAAAUGAUCCUUACCUACCCUGUGUGGUUAGUUCCUCUGAGGGACAGGCCCAAAGACAGAGUUCUUUCCAGAAGCCUCAAGGUUUCUGAGAAUCACCUUCCUGCAGAGGAAAUGUAUCAAGGCUAACUGCAUCCUCCCAAACGUGGAGUCCUGCCUCCUUCAUCUCUUGUCAUUUUUCCCCACCUCAGUUUUCCUAUCUGUAAAAUGAAGUGAUAUUGGCCACUGAUGGGAUGAUAUGUAAGUCACUGGUUAUAAAGGAGCCUUAUCUGCUGGGUUUCUAGAAUAGGAACUCAAUCCCCAUGCUCAGGAGUGGUGGAAUGAGAUGAACAGGGUCUCCGGGACUCCAGUGUAGACUAGAAGUUUCAAUUUCAUUCAAUCCAAUAUCUCCCACCUUUUUUUCAAUACUCUUUUUGAUAGUAAUGAUUUUGGGGUGUCUCUUUAGCUAAUAUGAUUACGAAAGUCAAGUAAUUGAGUAUAUGAAUGCUCUAGGCUGGCUUUGCAGGUUGGUAUAAAAAACUGCCAGACUCUUGCAACUGGCCUGGACCUCUAUGAACUGGUGAUACCAAAAACUAAGAGGCAUGCUGUAUUGAUGGGAUAGGGGCAGAAGAGAGGAGAAAGAAUAAACUGGAAAAUAAAACUCAUAACAUCAUCACGAUUUGAGAGAGAGAGAAAGAAAGAGAGAGAAAAACGCUGGAACACCGCCCCACUUAGCCCCUAAACACCGCAAGCGACUUCAGCCUUAGAACAACUCAGCCUAGCUCUAUUCACUUCCAAAAGCCCGUGUCCUUGCUGGCAAUCACUUGUGCACCGAGGAAAGCGGUCCAUCUAACUAACCACUAGUGGGCGGGAUGGAGUAAGCAACCCAGCCCGUCCCUUUCUCGGAAAUCACCAGGCUUUGGAGAAACGCUACUACAGUCGGGAGUGUCCCCUUCUCUAACCUGUAACAAUGUUAUUUGUUCGGAGACUGAUGACGAGUCACCCUGAACUGGCGUUCUGAUUGGGCAGUUGGAAAACUGCAAAAGUAGACUAAAAGUGGAGAACCCCCAGAACGUAUCGUCAUCCAGUCUUAAGAGUUUGCACCGUGCGGCGCCACUGGGUAAACUUGGCCUUGCUCUCUGAGCGCCGCCGCCAGCCUGGGUGCGUCCGCGGUUGAACUGUCUUCUAAGAGACUUCCCAGAGGACUCAUCUGCUGUGGAAGGCUGAGACGGGGCUAGAACCAGAAUCAGAGAUUAGCUGGAGUAGAAAACCUGAGCUCCAAAUUCUCAUGUCCAUCAGAAAGUGACUGACCAACAACUGUGGGUAUUGAGGACUUCAACAUUUGCUGUAUAGACUGGCAUAUAUCACUUCUCUGAAGACUGAAUCCAAAAGGCUAAUUAGUUGCAAGAAUGUGCUGUGAUAACAUGAUGAAAUCCAGACAUGCCUGACACUCAGCAACAGCUGGGGAAGGAGACCCAGGCCUGACAUGGCCCUGGAGCCAGAACUAAUAGAACUAGAGGAAAGUGAUGAAGUGGUUGACCUCACUUGUGAGUCUGUUGAACCUGUAGUGAUUGACCUAACUUGCCAUGACUCUGUUGUGAUCACUGAGCAAUGGAGAAGGCCAAGGAGAAACACAAGGUCACGCCAAACCCAAACUGGUAGCCGUGUGGUAAGCAGUGAUGGUCAAUGGAUGAGCAACAGAGAUGUGUAUGUGGCUCGCAGUGCUCGUCGCCAUUAUCUGGAAGAAGGAACUGCAAGUCACUUACAACCUGGCUAUAUCCAGUGUCGAGUGUGCAUGGAUGGGUACUCAGAGAUUGAGCUGAGUAGAAGACGCAUCUAUUCCACUGCAUGUGGUCACAUCUUCUGUAGUCGGUGUCUGUGCACUUAUCUUAAAUAUACUAAAACAUGCCCAGUUUGUUUGAGAAAGAUCAGCCAGCGUCAGUACCACCGUAUUUACAUAUGAUGUGUGCCCUGUUGCUCAGGACAGACAGAACUUUUGACUGGAUUUUCCAUGCUCUUGGAUAGGAACUAUGAGUUUUUGGUAUCCAGAGUUCUGAACUUAAAAGGCAAGUGAAGACCCUGGGUGAUAGAAGAUGAUGGCUCAAAAGUUGGAUCUCUAUCACUACAACAUUGGAGAAUUGGAUUGAAUUCUGACUCCAAGCUUCAGCCAAACACAGUGCCAGCCAUUGUGGGCAUCUGGACAGUAGCCCAGGGGAUGGGAGCUCCCUCUGCCUUGUAAAUAAUAAAAAUGAAAAGAAAAUUUAUAAAAUUCCCACUUGGGAAAUACAAAAAAGCUCAGGUCUCAUAGGCCCUGAGAUCACUUUUGGUUUCCUUUGGUUUCUGGUUUCAGGGUUGAACUUUGGUUGUCAUAGCAUGUCAGAUACUAGUAGGUGGCCUCAAAACCAUUUUCCCUAUCUUUCUCAUAGUCAUCACUUUUUUUCCUUUGGCCACAGAUGAGUAUUAUGGACCAUAUAAAUAAGGGUGGUGCUCUAGAGAAGGUAGCAAGUAGAUGGAAGAAACUUGGAAGACUGACAACUGAAAACCAGAGUCACUACAUAAGCCAAAUUUGGAUUUAUACUUAAGAAAUAAAAUAAUUUCAUUUUUGCUUAAUUGACCAUAUACUGUGUUGUUUUCCAUACUGCUCAGCUCAUCAACAAGGAGACAUGCUUCUCUGUAAGCAAACUGGCUGGAGUCAUAGGCUUUGGGAGGUGUCCUGCUCUGCCAUAACUUUCUUCUUUAAUAAAGAAUCAUAUAGCACUCAUGAUUCAGCCCACUUUCUAGAAUGGGUGGAUGUGAUACAAGCAGUGCUCUUUCCAUUUCUCAAGAUCAAGA